AGAAUUCAAAAUGUUUGUGUUUUUUAAUCCAGAAUCAUCUUCAGUGCCAAAGAAGGUGAAUUUUCCUACCUUUCCCGUGGAGGUGAGGCCGUGGUCUUCGUGAAAGACAAAGAAGCCCAGUCGAGCCGCAAAAACCAGAGAUUGCAUAAAUUGAAGAUGCAUGGAAGUUCAUUCAAACAGAGCACCGAGUAAAGACACACGUCAUAAUCCACCUCUCCUGGGAUCUGGCACAGAAUCUGCUAGGGAAAACUGGAUCGGUAGAGACUAACCUCUCCCAAAAAUUCGGACUAGUAACCUUCACCCAAAUUCAGAAACACAUCCUGCAAGAAACCACAUCUUGAAAACGUUGCUGCUGUGCAGUUUUAAAACAAAACAAUUACUUCGGAUACCACUCGAGACACAUUGCAGGUCAUCUGAGAUCUGGCUAGACAAUCUUUACUACGUCUUUAAUCCAUAAAAAUGAUAAUCAAGUCUCUAUGCAACAUAUUUAUGCAAGUAAUCAGUUCCAGUCUAUCUAAAAACGACUUGCACUUAGUUAAAAGGAUUGGCUAGUUGCCCACCAAAGAGACUCUUCUUUUGGAGAAAGAUGCCACUUGAAACAUGUUACCGUUUGUUUGGUUUAUCAGUAUUACUCUUGAAAUACUACUUAGAGACUAAAUAACUAGGUUAUUCAGCUGUUUUGUUGGGUUGUACUGUAAAUUAGGUUUUACCAAAGCAGUUUUCUAGCUAUGCUAAUCCUCUUUGCCUCAGUUCCGAAAGCAAAACUUUUAAGAUUUUUCUUUGUUGCAAC